rnacentral:rRNA from 1 species
AGCAGCCGCGGUAAUUCCAGCUCCAAUAGCGUAUAUUAAAGUUGUUGCAGUUAAAAAGCUCGUAGUUGAAUUUUAGGCCUGGCCGGAUGGUCCGUCUUUGGCGAGUACUGUUCUGUCGUCGGGUCUAUCCUUCUGGUGAGCCGGGAUGCCCUUUAUUGGGUGUGUCGGGGAACCAGGACCAUUACCUUGAAAAAAUUAGAGUGUUUAAAGCGGGCAUGUGCUUGAAUAGAUUAGCAUGGAAUAAUAGAAUAGGACGUUGGUUCUAUUUUGUUGGUUUUAGGACCACCGUAAUGAUUAAUAGGGAUAGUUGGG